rnacentral:rRNA from 1 species
UACGUAGGGUGCAAGCGUUUAAUCGGAAUUACUGGGCGUAAAGCGUGCGCAGGCGGUUUUGUAAGUCUGUCGUGAAAUCCCCGGGCUCAACCUGGGAAUUGCGAUGGAGACUGCAAGGCUAGAAUCUGGCAGAGGGGGGUAGAAUUCCACGUGUAGCAGUGAAAUGCGUAGAGAUGUGGAGGAACACCGAUGGCGAAGGCAGCCCCCUGGGUCAAGAUUGACGCUCAUGCACGAAAGGCGUGGGGAGCAAACAGGAU